GUUCCUGACCGCUGGAAGCGUUAGCCCCUUAUCAGGCCUGAUGGCUGCUGCUGAGGUGCAGAAGUACGCUCCUUGUUCAGGACCCGCCACCUGGCUGAAGAACUCCGUCCCAAAGGAUGCAGAUGGUCUUUUCGAGGUGGUGGUGUAGGUGUUUGAACUGAGGACUCACUCACUGCCUUGCCAUCUGCAGAGGGGCGUCAUUAGGAGGAACAAGGGAGUCAUUUCUGCUUUGGUCCAUGUAAAGCUCGGUGGGAUGCUGCCUUUCUGUCUUGCAGACUUUCUGCUCAGAAGCCCAGUGUAUUUUCAGGAAUCCCAAAUUUCAAUUGGCACGAAGCUGACACGGCCCCACAUAUGAAAGACGAGCUGUUGAAAAGAAGCAAGCUCACCAGAAAGACGUGAUUAAAUUUUGCAGAAGAAGCCCUUACUGUUAAUCAAGAGAGGGAGAUUAGAAGAGAUGAGAACCACCAGCCUGAAGAGCACUUUGCAUUUGACUACACCUUUCUACCAGCCUGUGUGUUUCUCUUCUGAUAUCUCUGCAGGGAGAAGUUCUCCAGUGAAUCUAUGAAAAGGAGCCUCUACGCUGUAUCAGAUUCUUAUAUUAAUUGACUGAUAGAUAUUAAGACCUACUAUUAUGGUCAUCCAGUCUGGCCUUCUGCAUGAACAGACAUGGAAUUCCAGCACAGUAAUUCAUGCUUUUUCAGAAGAAAUUCAUACAAACUACAAAAUUUACAGGUAAAUGAAGAGCUGCUUCAACUCAGUGGCACAAUGACCAAACCAUUUGGCAGUGGGCACAAAGAUGGAAUCUGAACAGUAAGAAACUGACCAUCAGCAAGAUGCUCCAAGCAGGAGUGUUGGGACCGGGGAACUUUCUCACCGCACCAGGGCUGACGUGGAUGAUGGAUGUGAUUCCAGAAGGGAAGCGCAUGGGAAGGUCCUUGCAGUGAGAUUCCCCAGGAGGUGGCAGGAAGGCAGUUAGGAUGCAGAGAGCA